UGUGUGUGUGUGUAGGGGGUGUAGGAUGGGCGAGAGAGAGUGUGUGUGUAUGUGUGUGUGUGUGUGUGUAUGGGGGAUGUAGACGGGAGGGUUAGGUGUGCGUGUGUUGUAAGCUGUCCCUUCCUCGGCCAUUCCCUUGAGGUCAGUUCCAACACUAUCACAAGCUGUCCCUUCCUCGGCCAUUCCCUUGAGGUCAGUUCCAACACUCUCACAAGCUGUCCCUUCCUCGGCCAUUCCCUUGAGGUCAGUUCUAACACUAUCACAAGCUGUCCCUUCCACGGCCAUUCCCUUGAGGUCAGUUCCAACACUGUCACAAGCUGUCCCUUCCUCGGCCAUUCCCUUGAGGUCAGUUCCAACACCAUCACAAGCUGUCCCUUCCUCGGCCAUUCCUCAACGAAAAACUAGAACUGCAAUGAUAUUUUCUUUCUUAAACUCUUUCCCAAUCUCUUCAUUUCCAACACAGUAUUUUUCCUCCUUACCUUCCACUCCUUACCAAAUCUUUUCCUUUUCUCUAUUUCCUUUUCCUUCCUCACCUCCUCUCCAUUUUGUUACAUUCAACUUCACAAAUUCAUUACCAACACUAUUCUUUCCUACCCACUCUUUCCUCAUCCCCUUCUCUCUCUC